AGUGAACGCUGGCGGUAGGCCUAACACAUGCAAGUCGAACGGCAGCACAGUAAGAGCUUGCUCUUACGGGUGGCGAGUGGCGGACGGGUGAGGAAUACAUCGGAAUCUACUUUUUCGUGGGGGAUAACGUAGGGAAACUUACGCUAAUACCGCAUACGACCUACGGGUGAAAGCAGGGGAUCUUCGGACCUUGCGCGAUUGAAUGAGCCGAUGUCGGAUUAGCUAGUUGGCGGGGUAAAGGCCCACCAAGGCGACGAUCCGUAGCUGGUCUGAGAGGAUGAUCAGCCACACUGGAACUGCGACACGGUCCAGACUCCUACGGGAGUCAGCAGUGGGGAAUAUUGGACAAUGGGCGCAAGCCUGAUCCAGCCCUACCGCGUGGGUGAAGAAGGCCUUCGGGUUGUACAGCCCUUUUGUUGGGAAAGAAAAGCAGCAGGUUAAUACCCCGCUGUUCUGACGGUACCCAAAGAAUAAGCACCGGCUAACUUCGUG
rnacentral:rRNA from 1 species